CUACGGGGCGCUCCAGUGGGGAAUAUUGGGCAAUGGGCGCAAGCCUGACCCAGCAACGCCGCGUGAGGGAAGAAGGUUGGCGGAUGGUAAACCUCUGUCCUUGGGGACGAAGAAGUGACGGUACCCAAGGAGGAAGCUCCGGCUAACUACGUGCCAGCAGCCGCGGUAAUACGUAGGGAGCAAGCGUUGUCCGGAAUUACUGGGCGUAAAGGGUGCGUAGGCGGCAUAUUAAGUCAGGUGUGAAAUACUCGGGCUCAACCCGGGGGCUGCAUUUGAAACUGAUAUGCUUGAGUGUGAGAGAGGAAAGUGGAAUUCCUAGUGUAGCGGUGGAAUGCGUAGAUACUAGGAGGAACACCAGUGGCGAAGGCGACUUUCUGGCUCAUAACUGACGCUGAGGCACGAAAGCGUGGGGAGCAAACAGGAUUAGAUACCCGAGUAGUC
rnacentral:rRNA from 1 species